rnacentral:ncRNA from 1 species
AGUCUUCAGGGCAGGGUGAAAUUCCCGAUCGGCGGUAAAGUCCGCGAGCUUAGGCAAGAUCCGGUGAGAUUCCGGUACCGACAGUAUAGUCUGGAUGGAAGAAGAUG